rnacentral:tRNA from 1 species
GCCAGUUUGGCUCAGUGGAUAGAGCAUUGGCCUGUGGACCAAAGGGGCUGGGUUCGAUUCCAGUCAAGGGCA